UGAACGCUGGCGGUAGGCCUAACACAUGCAAGUCGACCGGCAGCACAGUAAGAGCUUGCUCUUACGGGUGGCGAGUGGCGGACGGGUGAGGAAUACAUCGGAAUCUACUUUUUCGUGGGGGAUAACGUAGGGAAACUUACGCUAAUACCGCAUACGACCUACGGGUGAAAGCAGGGGAUCUUCGGACCUUGCGCGAUUGAAUGAGCCGAUGUCGGAUUAGCUAGUUGGCGGGGUAAAGGCCCACCAAGGCGACGAUCCGUAGCUGGUCUGAGAGGAUGAUCAGCCACACUGGAACUGAGACACGGUCCAGACUCCUACGGGAGGCAGCAGUGGGGAAUAUUGGACAAUGGGCGCAAGCCUGAUCCAGCCAUACCGCGUGGGUGAAGAAGGCCUUCGGGUUGUAAAGCCCUUUUGUUGGGAAAGAAAAGCAGCAGGUUAAUACCCCGCUGUUCUGACGGUACCCAAAGAAUAAGCACCGGCUAACUUCGUG
rnacentral:rRNA from 1 species